rnacentral:rRNA from 1 species
GACGAACGCUGGCGGCGUGCCUAAUACAUGCAAGUCGAACGCAGUGGGGACGGGUGAGUAACACGUGGGUAACCUCCCAUCAGAGGGGAAAACACUUGGAAACAGGUGCUAAACCGAUCCUGAUGGAUGGACCCGCGGUGCAUUAGCUAGUUGGUGAGGUAAGGUCUCACAAAGGCCUCGAUGCAUAGGCGACCUGUGAGGGUGAUCGACCACACUGGACCUGAGACACGGCCCAGACUCGUACGUGAGGCAGCAGUAGGGAAUCUUCGGCAAUGGACGAAAGUCUGACCGAGCAACGCCGCGUGAUUGAAGAAGUUUUUCGGAUCGUAACACUCUGGUGUUAGAGAAGCGGUAUCUAACCAGAAAGCCGCGGCUAACUACGUGCCAGCAGCCGCGGUAAUAC